GUAGGGGUGCGAGCGUUAUCCGGAAUCAUUGGGCGUAAAGAGCUCGUAGGCGGUUCAGCAAGUCGGCUGUGAAAUUUCCGAGGGCUCAACCUCGGAACUGCAGUCGAUACUGUUGUGACUCGAGUCCGGUAGAGGAGAAUGGAAUUCCCGGUGUAGCGGUGAAAUGCGCAGAUAUCGGGAGGAACACCAGUAGCGAAGGCGGUUCUCUGGGCCGGCACUGACGCUGAGGAGCGAAAGCGUGGGUAGCAAACAGGAUUAGAUACCCUGGUAGUCCACGCCGUAAACGUUGGAUACUAGGUGUGGGGUUCCGACCAACGGUCCCCGUGCCGAAGCUAACGCAUUAAGUAUCCCGCCUGGGGAGUACGGCCGCAAAGGCUAA
rnacentral:rRNA from 1 species